AAGAGAGUGAAGGGGGUUUUGGGUCGUGGUCAUUUCUGUAAACCCAAGACCCAGUUGGUAGGGUCAUGGGAGGGGUCUCUGCUACUUUAAUUUACUUUGUCCUUUUCACCCUCUCUCUCUCUCUCUCUCUCUCUCUCUCUCUCUCUCUCUCAAGUCUCAGCCUUUUUAUCCCAUCAUCUCUCGUACCACCCAUUUCAUUUUUCUCAUUCACCAUAAUCACACACACACCGCUCCUCUGUUUCUCUCUGUCUUCUCUGCUUAGUUUAGAAGUAGCCUGAGGUUUCUUGGGUCAACUUGGUUCUGUGAAAUAGAGGCAAAAAACAAAGAUGAAAAGAGAAGAGGAAGCUAAUUUGUUUUUGAGGGGAAUGUUGUCUGGCUCGAGGCCCCUAACUAGAUCCAUGAUCUUCAUCUCAAUUGAUGUCAAUUUUAAUCAACAAUAUAGACUCAGUUGAGACAGAUCAUUUGGUUCUACAUUUAGUGACGUCGGACCAGGCUUCAUUCCCCCCAAUUAUUGCUUCCAAUCACACAGAUCUUCACUUACCCAUGUUAGAUUUUUGCCUUGAUCAUCCAAAGAAAGAAAUUUUGUACAUGGGUUGUUGGGCAGGCAGAUGCAGAUUGGUGUAAUGAUGAAGGGUGACUGUUCUUCUCUUUUCACCUUUUAUCUCUGACGGAAGUGGGGAAAAGAUCUUCAUCAUUACUCUUUUUAUUUUUAUUUAUCUUCUAAAUUUCACGAAUAUCAGCAGCAUAUAUGCAGGGUUGCAUUUUCUUUGUCAGGCUUCCCCCACGCCCUUCUUUCAGGUUCAUAUCAUUGGGCUGGUUUUUUUCAUGAUGGCUUUCAAGAAUCUUCUCUGUCCACUUCUGCUCUUUCUAAUCCCACACUUCACUUUUAAUUGCCUUCUUUUACCUACCACAACCCUAUUUUCACUUGUGCAUUAUAGCACCAUAGCCUAUAUAGGGUUUCCAUUUUCCACACUAGGUCUCUCUCUCUCUCUCUCUCUCUCCCCCCCUCUUAAAUAUUAACCUUGUUCUAUUUUCUUAAAUACAUUCACUGUUAAUUUUCCUCAUUUUUUCCCUUCUGAUUAUUAUUUACAUUAUACAUGAAUUCUGGUUAUUUCUCUGCAGAUUUACAUGCCUGCAGAACAAGUGCUUGAUGAUCUUUUGUAUUUUUUCCUUUAUGUUCAAUUUACUUCUUUUGUUGUUAGUGUUAGUUGGUGGAGCCAGCUUUGGAGCUGUGUAUUGUAUUGUAAUCUCCGUCACUCUGGAUCUGUGAUAAUUCAGAUGAUUAGUUUGGUUGGAUUGUAAAGGAUUUGUGGAUCUAAGUUCUUUUAUAAAGAUCAUAUUUAUUCUUUAUUAUGCUAUUAAUUUCUUUGAGA